rnacentral:rRNA from 1 species
UUGACCUCGGAUCAGGUAGGAAUACCCGCUGAACUUAGCAUAUCAGCAUAUCAAUAAGCGGAGGA